GAUGAACGCUGGCGGCGUGCCUAAUACAUGCAAGUCGAGCGAACAGAUAAGGAGCUUGCUCCUUUGACGUUAGCGGCGGACGGGUGAGUAACACGUGGAUAACCUACCUAUAAGACUGGGAUAACUUCGGGAAACCGGAGCUAAUACCGGAUAACAUAUUGAACCGCAUGGUUCAAUAGUGAAAGGCGGCUUUGCUGUCACUUAUAGAUGGAUCCGCGCCGUAUUAGCUAGUUGGUAAGGUAACGGCUUACCAAGGCAACGAUACGUAGCCGGCCUGAGAGGGUGAUCGGCCACACUGGAACUGAGACACGGUCCAGACUCCUACGGGAGGCAGCAGUAGGGAAUCUUCCGCAAUGGGCGAAAGCCUGACGGAGCAACGCCGCGUGAGUGAUGAAGGUCUUCGGAUCGUAAAACUCUGUUAUCAGGGAAGAACAAAUGUGUAAGUAACUGUGCACAUCUUGACGGUACCUGAUCAGAAAGCCACGGCUAACUACGUG
rnacentral:rRNA from 1 species